UACGUAGGGUGCGAGCGUUAAUCGGAAUUACUGGGCGUAAAGCGUGCGCAGGCGGUUGGUUAAGACAGAUGUGAAAUCCCCGGGCUCAACCUGGGAACUGCAUUUGUGACUGGCCAGCUAGAGUAUGGCAGAGGGGGGUGGAAUUCCACGUGUAGCAGUGAAAUGCGUAGAGAUGUGGAGGAACACCGAUGGCGAAGGCAGCCCCCUGGGCCAAUACUGACGCUCAUGCACGAAAGCGUGGGGAGCAAACAGG
rnacentral:rRNA from 1 species